rnacentral:rRNA from 1 species
GACGAACGCUGGCGGCGUGCUUAACACAUGCAAGUCGAACGAUGACGACCGAGCUUGCUCGGUCUGAUUAGUGGCGAACGGGUGAGUAACACGUGAGCAACCUGCCCUUCACUCUGGGAUAACCUCGGGAAAUCGGGGCUAAUACCGGAUAUGAGCUCCUGUCGCAUGGCGGGUGUUGGAAAGUUUUUCGGUGAAGGAUGGGCUCGCGGCCUAUCAGUUUGUUGGUGAGGUAGUGGCUCACCAAGGCGAUGACGGGUAGCCGGCCUGAGAGGGCGACCGGCCACACUGGGACUGAGACACGGCCCAGACUCCUACGGGAGGCAGCAGUGGGGAAUAUUGCACAAUGGGCGAAAGCCUGAUGCAGCGACGCCGCGUGAGGGAUGAUGGCCUUCGGGUUGUAAACCUCUUUCAGCAGGGAAGAAGCGAAAGUGACGGUACCUGCAGAAGAAGCGCCGGCUAACUACGUG